rnacentral:rRNA from 1 species
GAUGAACGCUGGCGGCGUGCCUAAUACAUGCAAGUCGAGCGAACGGACGAGAAGCUUGCUUCUCUGAUGUUAGCGGCGGACGGGUGAGUAACACGUGGAUAACCUACCUAUAAGACUGGGAUAACUUCGGGAAACCGGAGCUAAUACCGGAUAAUAUUUUGAACCGCAUGGUUCAAAAGUAAAAGACGGUCUUGCUGUCACUUAUAGAUGGAUCCGCGCUGCAUUAGCUAGUUGGUAAGGUAACGGCUUACCAAGGCAACGAUGCAUAGCCGACCUGAGAGGGUGAUCGGCCACACUGGAACUGAGACACGGUCCAGACUCCUACGGGAGGCAGCAGUAGGGAAUCUUCCGCAAUGGGCGAAAGCCUGACGGAGCAACGCCGCGUGAGUGAUGAAGGUCUUCGGAUCGUAAAACUCUGUUAUUAGGGAAGAACAUAUGUGUAAGUAACUGUGCACAUCUUGACGGUACCUAAUCAGAGAGCCACGGCUAACUACGUG